rnacentral:rRNA from 3 species
AGAUGGUGAACUAUGCCUGAAUAGGGCGAAGCCAGGGGAAACCCUGGUGGAAGCCCGCAGCGAUUCUGACGUGCAAAUCGAUCGUCAAAUUUGGGUAUAGGGGCGAAAGACUAAUCGAACCGUCUAGUAGCUGGUUCCCUCCGAAGUUUCCCUCAGGAUAGCUGGAGCCCGGUGCAGUUUUAUCAGGUAAAGCGAAUGAUUAGAGGUCUUGGGGUCGAAACGUCCUCAACCUAUUCUCAAACUUUAAAUGGGUAAGAAGUCUGGCUUGCUCGAUUGAAGUCGGACGUGGAAUGCCGGGGCUCCUAGUGGGCCAUUUUUGGUAAGCAGAACUGGCGAUGUGGGAUGAACCGAAAGCCGGGUUAAGGUGCCCGAAUCGACGCUCAGCA